rnacentral:rRNA from 1 species
UAGGGAAUCUUCGGCAAUGGACGGAAGUCUGACCGAGCAACGCCGCGUGAGUGAAGAAGGUUUUCGGAUCGUAAAGCUCUGUUGUAAGAGAAGAACGAGUGUGAGAGUGGAAAGUUCACACUGUGACGGUAUCUUACCAGAAAGGGACGGCUAACUACGUGCCAGCAGCCGCGGUAAUACGUAGGUCCCGAGCGUGGUCCGGAUUUAUUGGGCGUAAAGCGAGCGCAGGCGGUUAGAUAAGUCUGAAGUUAAAGGCUGUGGCUUAACCAUAGUACGCUUUGGAAACUGUUUAACUUGAGUGCAAGAGGGGAGAGUGGAAUUCCAUGUGUAGCGGUGAAAUGCGUAGAUAUAUGGAGGAACACCGGUGGCGAAAGCGGCUCUCUGGCUUGUAACUGACGCUGAGGCUCGAAAGCGUGGGGAGCAAACAGGAUUAGAUACCCUGGUAGUCCACGCCGUAAACGAUGAGUGCUAGGUGUUAGACCCUUUCCGGGGUUUAGUGCCGCAGCUAACGCAUUAAGCACUCCGCCUGGGGAGUACGACCGCAAGGUU